rnacentral:rRNA from 1 species
UACAGAGGGUGCGAGCGUUAAUCGGAAUUACUGGGCGUAAAGCGCGCGUAGACGGUUUUGUAAGUUUGUCGUGAAAGCCCCGGGCUCAACCUGGGAAUUGCGAUGAAGACUGCAAGGCUUGAAUCUGGCAGAGGGGGGUAGAAUUCCACGUGUAGCAGUGAAAUGCGUAGAGAUGUGGAGGAACACCGAUGGCGAAGGCAG